rnacentral:rRNA from 1 species
GACGAACGCUGGCGGCGUGCCUAAUACAUGCAAGUAGAACGCUGAAGGAGGAGCUUGCUUCUCCGGAUGAGUUGCGAACGGGUGAGUAACGCGUAGGUAACCUGCCUGGUAGCGGGGGAUAACUAUUGGAAACGAUAGCUAAUACCGCAUAACAGUAGAUAUUGCAUGAUAUCUGCUUGAAAGGUGCAAUUGCAUCACUACCAGAUGGACCUGCGUUGUAUUAGCUAGUUGGUGGGGUAACGGCUCACCAAGGCGACGAUACAUAGCCGACCUGAGAGGGUGGUCGGCCACACUGGGAAUGAGACACGGCCCAGACUCCUACGGGAGGCAGCAGUAGGGAAUCUUCGGCAAUGGACGGAAGUCUGACCGAGCAACGCCGCGUGAGUGAAGAAGGUUUUCGGAUCGUAAAGCUCUGUUGUAAGAGAAGAACGAGUGUGAGAGUGGAAAGUUCACACUGUGACGGUAUCUUACCAGAAAGGGACGGCUAACUACGUG